AGCGGCGCUAAAAUGCUAUUUGAUCUCUCCAAAAAUGCUAAUGAGUAACAAAGAGAUCUGUUUACGCAGCGCAGCUGAAUGUCAAAAAGUGAAAGGUCUUCUUGAUCUAUUAAAAGUUAAACUUGACACAGUCUUUUAAAAACAUGUAGAUCACGAGACGCUGUCUAGCCCUGUAGAUGAGUAAACUGUAAUGAGGACCUUGGAAACCAAAAACGCAUUCUGUGUGAACAAGCCCAUACCAUGGUGAGAAAGACCUGUUGGAUGUUUUGCUGCAAAAGCACACUCGUCAAUGGAUGCACAUUUCCUUGCCUCCGAUCCAGCCUAGAUGAAUGUGUCUGCAUCCAAACCCCUACGAUAAUAUCAAGGGCUUUUAAAGACAGUAUUCAUGUAGGCUUUAUCACGUGUAAAAGCACAGAAGAUGAACCACCAGACCAUGUACAGGAGAUGACGGCCUAGUCUGCGCAAAAAAAAGCCGUCACUGUAAGCUCAGCACCAUCAUCCAUCACUGACUCACGUCACAUGCCUACGCAAGGAGGGAAGUGUGAAGGUUAAAGGCUCUACGAAGCCACAAAGUUAAGAUAGAAGUUAAGAUCCACUAUGAAUUUCUUUUCAGAUUUGGGGAUAAGA